rnacentral:lncRNA from 1 species
UGCGAAACUUGGUGAUACAUACAAAUUGUGUUGUUUUCUAUCAAUAUGCCUUUGAAUUAAUGUCAAAAAUAAUUAUCUCAAGCGAAAACUACAGGAAAAUUGUUACUGUUCAGAGAAAUAACAAAUUUUUCCAAUAAAUUAUAUAAAACAUGAUAAAAGACAAUAACAUACAAAUAAAUCAUUUUGGACCAGAAAAGUGAUCCCAAAC